UACGUAGGCAGCAAGCGUUGUUCGGAAUUACUGGGCGUAAAGCGCACGUAGGCGGAUUGUUAAGUCGGGGGUGAAAUCCUGGAGCUCAACUCCAGAACUGCCUUCGAAACUGGCGAUCUUGAGUCCGGGAGAGGUGAGUGGAACUGCGAGUGUAGAGGUGAAAUUCGUAGAUAUUCGCAAGAACACCAGUGGCGAAGGCGGCUCACUGGCCCGGUACUGACGCUGAGGUGCGAAAGCGUGGGGAGCAAACAGG
rnacentral:rRNA from 1 species